rnacentral:rRNA from 1 species
GCAGUCGAGCGGUAGCACAGAGAGCUUGCUCUCGGGUGACGAGCGGCGGACGGGUGAGUAAUGUCUGGGAAACUGCCUGAUGGAGGGGGAUAACUACUGGAAACGGUAGCUAAUACCGCAUAACGUCGCAAGACCAAAGUGGGGGACCUUCGGGCCUCAUGCCAUCAGAUGUGCCCAGAUGGGAUUAGCUAGUAGGUGGGGUAACGGCUCACCUAGGCGACGAUCCCUAGCUGGUCUGAGAGGAUGACCAGCCACACUGGAACUGAGACACGGUCCAGACUCCUACGGGAGGCAGCAGUGGGGAAUAUUGCACAAUGGGCGCAAGCCUGAUGCAGCCAUGCCGCGUGUGUGAAGAAGGCCUUCGGGUUGUAAAGCACUUUCAGCGGGGAGGAAGGCGUUAAGGUUAAUAACCUUGUCGAUUGACGUUACCCGCAGAAGAAGCACCGGCUAACUCCGUGCCAGCAGCCGCGGUAAUACGGAGGGUGCAAGCGUUAAUCGGAAUUACUGGGCGUAAAGCGCACGCAGGCGGUCUGUCAAGUCGGAUGUGAAAUCCCCGGGCUCAACCUGGGAACUGCAUUCGAAACUGGCAGGCUAGAGUCUUGUAGAGGGGGGUAGAAUUCCAGGUGUAGCGGUGAAAUGCGUAGAGAUCUGGAGGAAUACCGGUGGCGAAGGCGGCCCCCUGGACAAAGACUGACGCUCAGGUGCGAAAGCGUGGGGAGCAAACAGGAUUAGAUACCCUGGUAGUCCACGCCGUAAACGAUGUCGAUUUGGAGGUUGUGCCCUUGAGGCGUGGCUUCCGGAGCUAACGCGUUAAAUCGACCGCCUGGGGAGUACGGCCGCAAGGUUAAAACUCAAAUGAAUUGACGGGGGCCCGCACAAGCGGUGGAGCAUGUGGUUUAAUUCGAUGCAACGCGAAGAACCUUACCUGGUCUUGACAUCCACAGAACUUUCCAGAGAUGGAUUGGUGCCUUCGGGAACUGUGAGACAGGUGCUGCAUGGCUGUCGUCAGCUCGUGUUGUGAAAUGUUGGGUUAAGUCCCGCAACGAGCGCAACCCUUAUCCUUUGUUGCCAGCGGUUCGGCCGGGAACUCAAAGGAGACUGCCAGUGAUAAACUGGAGGAAGGUGGGGAUGACGUCAAGUCAUCAUGGCCCUUACGACCAGGGCUACACACGUGCUACAAUGGCAUAUACAAAGAGAAGCGACCUCGCGAGAGCAAGCGGACCUCAUAAAGUAUGUCGUAGUCCGGAUUGGAGUCUGCAACUCGACUCCAUGAAGUCGGAAUCGCUAGUAAUCGUAGAUCAGAAUGCUACGGUGAAUACGUUCCCGGGCCUUGUACACACCGCCCGUCACACCAUGGGAGUGGGUUGCAAAAGAAGUAGGUAGCUUAACCUUCGGGAGGGCGCU